rnacentral:rRNA from 1 species
UACGUAGGGGGCAAGCGUUGUCCGGAAUCAUUGGGCGUAAAGAGCGUGUAGGCGGUCCGGUCAGUCGGUUGUGAAAGUCAAGGGCUCAACCCUUGAAUGCCGGCCGAUACUGCCGGGCUAGAGUCCGGAAGAGGUGAGUGGAAUUCCUGGUGUAGCGGUGAAAUGCGCAGAUAUCACGAGGAACACCGAUGGCGAAGGCAGCUCACUGGGACGGUACUGACGCUGAGACGCGAAAGCGUGGGGAGCAAACAGG